AAGAAGCCGUGACUGACCGGGAGUGUUCAAGAGGCAGCCUGGCUUAUUGCUGCGCCAUGGUAGAAAGAAGGGAAGUGUCUAGGACUGAAGCCAAGAGCAUCCUGGGCAUAGAGGUGCAUCUUGGAAGCUAGGCACCAUCUGGAGCAUGUGGUGAGCAUCUUCAGAGCCUGGGCUGUGACUGGCCAUGUACUCUGGUCUUGGCACCACCCUGGGAAUAAAGGUGACUUGCUGGAGGUUCCAGCUGCUGCUGAACUAUGGCAUCCAUGUGAUUGAUGCCACCACCCAUCAGAAGAAAAGAAAAGCAGCGCAGACACAGCCCAAUGAAGAUUUCAUCAAAGUUAUGCGUGGCAGCACUGACUUAUAAGGAGGCCAUGGAGAACGAAUGAGUAUGCUACCUGCCUUUUCCUCUAAGCAAAGCUUACCUGAUGGAGCACUGGCUUGAGGAACUACGUAAAGUGACCACAAUAUACCAAACGAUUAGUCACUCAAGAGGAGUCUAAUGGGGCUGCACAAAACAAACAAACAAACAAACAAACAACAAAACAGCUCCUGCUCUGACCCAGCAAAAUUUCAGUGUGAUAAAUUGCAGCCAGUUUUCUGUGUGUGGGGUUGGAACAAGGAUGCUUAAGACAAACAGCACCAGCAGGGCAGGCGUGUGGCAGCAUCCCCAGUCACCAGAACACAGCCUCACUGUACCCGCAACUCUGCCUCUGGUGUGCAGAAAAAGCUUUCAAGUAUUCAGUAUGUCAGAGUGCUGGAACCAGAGUACAAUGGGUACCACCACGUAUGCCUUGGCUGGAAAUUUUACCAUGUACCACUGUGAACUGAUUUCAUCAGCUUUCCCAAGAGGUUCAGAAAACUGUAGUCAAGUUGACAACAGAAAUCGCCAUCCCAUCUUAGGAUCCCAGAAGUGAAGGACAACACACCAAACAUAAUUGACUUGCGUUAGGAUGUCUGGACCCACCUAGUCACAAAGCCUCCUCCAAGUGGAUGUGCAGUUCUUCUAGCUUUGUGUCUGGUACCAAGUGGUUUGUUUGUGUCAUGCUUCUGGAAAGAAUGCAUAUACAAAGAACCAAAGCAGGAGAACUAUUGGUCAAACACUAAUGAUCUGCAAGAAUUUGCGGUUGGAGGAGGUAGAAAGAGAUUACUUAAAUAUCUUUUAAAAUGGAAACUGCAAUGCAAGUACGUAAGCCAUGGGUAUGCCUUGCCACUCUCACUGUCUCGGCAAUUUUCAGUGGACCAUAUGUCAGGUCUACUCAACUGUCCCAGCAUCUGAGCUCAGAAGCUAUGCAUACAUGAGAUCUGCAUAUAAAUGCAACUUUCUGUUCCUCUGGGCUUUGAGAUACCAGGUCUGUCUAUGCUGCUUUGGAGGUUGGACAUUGGGCCCUCAAAUGUUCCUCCGGGAUCCUCCAUCUCUAUUGAGGCAUCUAAAGAAUCCUAACUAACUGAGAUGUUGCCAGUAGACUACUGCCAGACUCACUGAGGGUGUCAGGGUGGGCCUCGUGCAGAGGACCCUGCAGAGCUCUCUGGACUCAGUCAUGUCUCCAGUGCUCAUGCUUGGGUGAGCACGCGAGCGUGUACACACAUACACACACACACUCCAGUUUUGAUUUAAAUGUAAGGAGAAUCUUUUUGGGAUCAAAUACUUCUGUAUGCUGGAUAGAAGAUUUUCAAAAUCUUUGUGCCAACCUGAACUGGCAAAGAAACGGGGGAUCUUCGUGGACAUUCAAGCACAGAGGAAGCUGAUUCCUGCUGUCACCAGUGCUGGGUUCUUUCUGAAGAGGCUGACACCCCCUCCACAGCUCCACUGUUUGGAACAGGGAAAGGAUGAAUUCCUUUUAGAACUGCUUUAGCUAGGGCUGCUGGGUUAGUGGUGAGUUCAAAUUUCAAAUAUAUUAAAUGAUUUCUUCAAUAUAUGUAUGAGAAAUUCAUAUAGAAAUAUUUCAUCCAUUGCAUAUUCAGAACUCAGGUUUUAAAUGGGUUUCCUAGGCUGGGUCUGGUGGUACACAUCUGUAAUCCCAGCAUUUGGAUGGUAGUACAGGUAGAAAAAUCAGGAAUUCAAGGUUGUCUUCGGUGACAUAGAGUUUGAGGGAAGCUACAUAAGACCUGCCUCAAAAUAGAACUGUAAUAAAAAUAAGUAAAUAAAUAAACAUCUUGAUUUUAUAAAAAAAAUCAUUCCUAACUCACAGACUAUGAUAAAGUACAUGUCCUUAUUUUAUGAGAAAAUAACACCCCAGAACUCUCCUGAAGUUUUACAUCUCUCAAUGAGCUGUUCUUCAGGGAGCAGUGAUCCCAGCAACCCAAGACUUUCUUCACAAACAGAGCAGUGUGAGAAUAAUGAAGCACAUAUCUUCAGUGAGGAAGAACACCUCUAUGCUAAUCCUCCAAGACUUUCUGAACAAACCAUUCCAGAAACAUGAAGACUAUCUUAAAUAAUUAAAAAGUGAGAGAAAAAACCUACAAAGCAACAAUCACAGAAUCAGAAUACAAUGCCUGUAGAUUUGGAAAUUCUCAUGUGAGACAUUUUAAGAUGUGUAUUAAUUAUUGUGCUUCAUGAACCUAAUAGAAAAGUUGAAGGAGUGAUGGUAAAUGACUUCAGUUACUAGAAACCAUGACACUGCAGUAUUGCAAAUAGAAGAGCUGAGCAGAACAGAGAUUCUGGGAAUGAUCUGCGUAAACAUAGCCUAUUGCUCUUUGACAAAGAAGCAGAAGCUGCAGAGCAUGACAAAGGUCACAUUCUCAAGAUGUUGGGAUUAAACAUUAUAAAAGAAUCUAAACACAGAUUUUAAACCUUUCAGAGGAAUCAGUCUCAAGGCUGUAUGGGGCAUGAACAGUAUGGGUAUUGGAUCUAAAUACAAUAUUCAAAAACACAAACCCAGAAGAAGGUACUAGGUAAAAACCUAGGUGGCCUCAGGUCUCAUGGGGUUUUAGAUUUAACACAAAGAGCGUUGUCCAUGAGGAAGCAUUCAUAUAGGCUGAGUUCAUCAAAAUGAACUUGUGUUCAAUGAAAAUGAAACUAGAAGCCGUGUCCUUCAAGAUCUUUGCAAAACAUAUACACAAUAGAGGAAUGAAAUUCACAGCGUAUAAAGAACACUUAAAACUCUUCCUUCACAUAACAAACAACCCAAUUACAAGAUGAUCACAGACUUGAAUACUUGUCUCCCCAAGAGGACCUACAGGAGAUAAAUCAGUUACCAUAACUCAUAAAUGCAAAUUAGACAUUAGAGUUCACCAGUGGAAAUGGCCAAAAUCUUGCCACCAAUCACAAGUGUUUGCAAAGAUGUGGAGAAACAGAAACUCAUUGAUUGCCAAUUAUACAUCUAAGACGAAAGACUUUUUAGGCUCCUAUAAAACCAAAAUCACCCUUGCCAUACAGUCCAAUAACCCUUCUUUUUGUCAUUUCCCCUACAACUCAAAAAGUUGUGUCUGCACCACACCUGCCUGGAAAACAUUAUGUUCCCAAUACCUCAAACUUUGAGCAAGAAACAUAUCCUUCAGUCAGUGACUGAGUAGAUGAACUGUGGUUCAUUCAGACCAUAAAGAAAUUACAUUUGAGGAUAAGAAUGAGCUACUAAGCCACAAAAACACAUCGAAGAUGGAAAUGUGUGUUUGAUGAAAGAGAGACCAUUCUAAAAUGGAGAAACCAUUGUGAAAAACCUAAACAUUAUGCGUUUCUGAUUCUGUGACAUGCUGGGAAACAGCAGCACCGAAGACAGUAAAAAGAUUAAUGCUUGCCAAGGCAGGGGAAGAUAGACUGGCACAGAGAGCUUCUAGAGGGGUACAGUCAUUCUGUCUGAUAUUGUGGUGAAGGACAGAUAUCAUUAAGCAUCUACCAAAGCCCAUAGACUGUAUACCACGAACACUGAACCUUAAUCAAAACCGUUGAUGUGAUGUGGGAGAGCAUUGGCUUACCACCUGCACAUCACCUUGUCAUGUCAGGAGGUGCUCAGGUCAGGGCCCAAGUAGGGGAAGAGGAUGUAGGGGACUCUGGAGUUUUUGUUUAGUAUCUCUGUAAACUUAAAACUGCUCUAUAAGUAAAGUCUCUCGAUGGAAAGUGCUAAAGGUAUUGUCAAAGCAUACACUGAGAAAAUCAAUAUGCUAAAAUAAUACAUUUAACAAAAUAGCAAAAUAAUUUACAUAUGUAAUACUUGAGAGUUCAGCCUUGGUUAAUGGCUUACAGUGUAUGUUAGACUCAACUGGAAAAAGAAUUAGAGAGCUAAAAUACAGAGUGAAGA